rnacentral:rRNA from 1 species
GACGAACGCUGGCGGCGUGCCUAAUACAUGCAAGUCGAACGCACUCUCGUUUAGAUUGAAGGAGCUUGCUCCUGAUUGAUAAACAUUUGAGUGAGUGGCGGACGGGUGAGUAACACGUGGGUAACCUGCCCUAAAGUGGGGGAUAACAUUUGGAAACAGAUGCUAAUACCGCAUAAAACCUAACACCGCAUGGUGUAGGGUUGAAAGAUGGUUUCGGCUAUCACUUUAGGAUGGACCCGCGGUGCAUUAGUUAGUUGGUGAGGUAAAGGCUCACCAAGACCGUGAUGCAUAGCCGACCUGAGAGGGUAAUCGGCCACACUGGGACUGAGACACGGCCCAGACUCCUACGGGAGGCAGCAGUAGGGAAUCUUCCACAAUGGACGAAAGUCUGAUGGAGCAACGCCGCGUGAGUGAAGAAGGUUUUCGGAUCGUAAAACUCUG